GUUCAGAGGUGUGCUCAUCCCCUGGAAACUCCAUACGCCUUGGAGACCGCAAGCCAGCGGUGUAGUAGAGCGUACCAAUCAGACCCUUAAAUGACAUCUCUCAAAAGUGUGCUAAGAAGCCUCCCUGCGAUGGCCUGAUGCCUUACCCCUCAUCCUGCUCCGAAUCCGCGCUGUCCCAAAGGGUAGAUUAGGGCUUAGUCCCUUUGAAAUUAUGUUUGGGAGGGUAUGGCCUAUGAAUGGCACA